UAAAGCUAUUCCUGGUGUAAAACCAAUUCCCCGACCUAAAUUUUCCCGUGGCUGACCGAACACCGCUGGAACAAUCGGAAAGACCGCAGAAACGCGUGCAAAUCCCCUCCAUCGUUGCUCUUACCAUUCACUCUUCACCGAGCGGAGAGAGAGGGGUGAGGGGAGGGAGGAGGAAGAAAAGAAAGAACAUAAUACGGACAGUUAUGGUCGAGCGGAGCAUUUUCCACGGCAUAUUUUCCCGUCCUAGUGUUAUUAAGCUAAUGGAGGGAUGCAAAAAUGAUUUCCACGAAUGGAUUCAACGGUUGUGAUGAGGGGCAGGGGAGGAACACAGGAAACGCGAAAUGGAGACGCGCGGACGGGAGAAAUAAAAAGAGGAAACUAGGGAUAAAACGAGAAACACGAUUGACGCGACAACAAAGCCUGGAUUCCCCGGUGUCCUACUGUGCCUGCAGUCGAUAAAACAUCGCGUAUGUUUGUUCAAAGAAUCGGGAAGAGAGUAAAGAAGAUACACGAUAUGAUUUUUGAAAUCAUGAUACAGCGGAUGGUGAUUCUACGUGUAAAAAUAAGUUG